ensembl:lncRNA
CGCCUUCUGAGUCCUGGCGGGGUCAUUUCGCCAAACAUUUUGCCAGGUGCAAAACCACUCCUCUCCCAAGACAGCAAGUAUUGAUUAAGCACCUACUGUGUGCCAUGCGGGGUAAGUGGUCAGUCCGGGAGAUCGGUAAUGUUCAGGGCCAGACCCCGGCCGAAGGCAGGCGAGGGUGGGCUCUUCAGCAUCAGGGGGCACCUCCUCCACCGGACUGAGCUCACGCUCGGCCCCGGGGGCCCUCAUCUCCAGGGAUGGGGGGUAGCCACGCCCCGGGGGCCCAGGGCGGGGGCGAGGCCAGGUGGGGGGAGCUGCAGGGCGUUGCCAGCUGCAGGCGGCCCCUGGAGGAGAUCGCGCUCCGCCGGGGGCCCCCUUUGCCCUGCCCCCUCCCGGCCCGGCCGCGCCCCAAGCUCAUACCCCACCGCCGUCCCCACCGCUUACCCGGGGACUCGCUCCGGCUCCGGUCCGGGACUUACGACGUGACCCCCGCCCUGCGCAUCCCCGCCUGCUCGGGAGCUGGGGCAGCUGCUGCGCCUUCGCUCCCGGGGGGCUUCGGAGGGAGGGUCCUACCUUGAGCUCCCUCCACCUGCCCCACCCGGGGGCCGGACUCGCGGGGGCUGAGCGAGAGACCCCAGCCCGGGGCGAAGCCCCCCGCCUGCACCCGCCGAGGCAGGCUCGGCUCGGUUCCGCUCGCGCGGCGGCUGUUACCGGCUGCGGCGGCUGCGGCCCCACCGUUCCAACAGCCGAGACUACUCCGGCCCCGCGCUGGCAGAAGCGCCCUCGGCUGGUGGGCGGGAGGGGGGCGGGCCGGGAGCUUGUGCGCCCCCUCCCCUUCCCCCUCUCGACAGGCGGGCGGGAGCGCGCUGGAAGGCGGUGGCGGGGUGGGGGGAGCAGAGCCGCAGGGACGGGUACGAGGCUCAGCUCGCGCCGCCUGGUGGAGGGGCAUCAUUACCCAAGAAUACAAGCGAUUGCCUGCUGGAGUUAGAGAUGGACCUUGGGAAUCCAAAGUUUCUGUUCAGUGUUCUAUCACUUUAGAAUCAUGGAGUUAGACAGAACAUCAGAACCCGUGGUCCAGACUGUAUCUUAACAGGAAUCCCUUCUGAAGGAUGCCAGCGUGCUUGUCCAGCCUUUGCUUGAAGACAUCUCCCCCCACAUCUCAAGAAGUAAAACUUCUUGAGGCAGCCAGUUGCCCUUUUGGAUUGUUCUAAUUGUUAGCUUUUUCUUGAAUCAAGGCCUAAAUUUGCCUUUCCACAACUUCUACACAUUGUUUCUAGUUCUGUCUUCUGAGCCAGUCUAAUGCCUCUAACCUACUAGUCUAAUAACCCUAAGUGCUCUUGUAUCUGACAGCUCUUCAGAUACAAGAAGACAGCCAUCAUAUGCCUCCUCAGUUUUCCCUUCUUCAGGAUAUCUAUCCCUAGUGCUUCCGUUAACGCUUAUAUUUCAUGAUCUCAAAGCUAUUCAUUUUCCUGGGUGCCCUUAUCUUGAUAUGUAUAUAUAUAUGUGUGUGUGUGUGUAUAUAUAUAUAUAUAUAUAUAUAUAUAUAUAUAUAUAUUUUAUAUAUAUAUAUAUUUCAUAUAUAUAGUUUUUGGUUUACUAAUAGUCUAACUAAAAUAUAGUACCUAGAAUUGAACAAAACACUCCAGAUAUUGUCUGACCACAGCAAAGCACAGCAGGACUUCUCUCUCCCUUGUUCUGGACAUUAUGCUCUUUUAAAGGGGCUGAGAGCACAUUAGCUUUUUUGGCUGCCAUAUCAAAUGCUGACUCAUAUUGAGCUUGCAAUUCACUAAAGCCCCCAGAUCUUUUUCAGGGGAAGUGUUGUCUGACAAUGCUUCCCCCAUCUUACACUUAUGAAUUCAAUUUGUUUGAAUCUAAGCAUAAGACUUUACAUUCAUCUCUAUUAAACUUAAUAUUAUUAGAUUUGACCUAACAUUCUAGCACAUGGUGAACCUUUUGGAUCCCACCUUUGUUUUCCAAUAUGUUAGCUGUCCUUCCCAGUAGUGUGUUCCUUUAAGAAAGUCAUUGAUAAAAUUGUUAAAUAACACUAGGCAAAGAAUAAGCUCCUGAGACACUCCUCUUAGAGACCUCCUUCCUAGUUGACAUCAAGCCAGGAAUACCUACCUAGUCUUUGGAUCUGGCCAGUCAGGCAAUUACAAGUCUACUGACCAGUACCAUUGUUCAAUCUACAUCUAUCUUGACCACACACACACACACACACACACACACACACACACCUUUGUUAAAUGCUUUCCUAAAACCCACACAACGCUAUAUCUAUGGUAUAUUUCUGAUUAGCGAGUUCUGGUCAAAACAACCCUAUUUUAAAAAGCAAUAAAGUAAGUUUAGUAUGACCUGUCCUUGAUUAA